UGCAGUCGANCGGAAAGGNCCUGCUUUUGUGGGGUGCUCGAGUGGCGAACGGGUGAGUAACACGUGAGUAACCUGCCCUUGACUUUGGGAUAACUUCAGGAAACUGGGGCUAAUACCGGAUAGGAGCUCCUGCUGCAUGGUGGGGGUUGGAAAGUUUCGGCGGUUGGGGAUGGACUCGCGGCUUAUCAGCUUGUUGGUGGGGUAGUGGCUUACCAAGGCUUUGACGGGUAGCCGGCCUGAGAGGGUGACCGGCCACAUUGGGACUGAGAUACGGCCCAGACUCCUACGGGAGGCAGCAGUGGGGAAUAUUGCACAAUGGGCGGAAGCCUGAUGCAGCAACGCCGCGUGCGGGAUGACGGCCUUCGGGUUGUAAACCGCUUUCGCCUGUGACGAAGCGUGAGUGACGGUAAUGGGUAAAGAAGCACCGGCUAACUACGUGCCAGCAGCCGCGGUGAUACGUAGGGUGCGAGCGUUGUCCGGAUUUAUUGGGCGUAAAGGGCUCGUAGGUGGUUGAUCGCGUCGGAAGUGUAAUCUUGGGGCUUAACCCUGAGCGUGCUUUCGAUACGGGUUGACUUGAGGAAGGUAGGGGAGAAUGGAAUUCCUGGUGGAGCGGUGGAAUGCGCAGAUAUCAGGAGGAACACCAGUGGCGAGGGCGGUUCUCUGGGCCUUUCCUGACGCUGANGAGCGAAAGCGUGGGGAGCGAACAGGCUUAGAUACCCUGGUAGUCCACGCUGUAAACGGUGGGUACUAGGUGUGGGGUCCAUUCCACGGGUUCCGUGCCGUANCUAACGCUUUAAGUACCCCGCCUGGGGAGUANNNCCGCANGGCUAAAACUCAAAGNAAUUGACGGGNCCCCGCACAAGCGGCGGANCAUGNNNAUUNAUUCNAUGCNACNCGUANAANCUUACCU
rnacentral:rRNA from 1 species